CCUGGGGAGUACGGCCGCAAGGUUAAAACUCAAAUGAAUUGACGGGGGCCCGCACAAGCGGUGGAGCAUGUGGUUUAAUUCGAUGCAACGCGAAGAACCUUACCUACUCUUGACAUCCAGAGAACUUAGCAGAGAUGCUUUGGUGCCUUCGGGAACUCUGAGACAGGUGCUGCAUGGCUGUCGUCAGCUCGUGUUGUGAAAUGUUGGGUUAAGUCCCGCAACGAGCGCAACCCUUAUCCUUUGUUGCCAGCGGU
rnacentral:rRNA from 3 species